CCUGAAUUGGCGAUUGUCAAAGAAUGAUUAAUUUGUUUUCUCUUUAGGUCUAUGUUUGGUAACUUUAUGGUUGCAAUUAUAGACGGCUGAUACUGCACCUAAAAUUUAGAUAAAUUUGGGUUCAGAACAGAGGUAGACAUGUCUGACGCCAUCAAUUCUACCAGACAUCUAGGGAUUCUUAUUCACUUUCAAGGAGUUCCUUAGUCAGUCCAACAGGUUGUUGGUUUUCUUUUUCCAACCAUAGAGUAAGAGAGUUGGUAGAAGCAGAUCCGGAUUUGAAAGAUAUUGUUCCAUCAGAGCUUAGUCCUUUAGUGGGCUCUAAAUGGGAGAUUCUAUCAGCCUAGUCUGGAAAUGUAGAGGCUCUAGAUGGGAAAAAUUGAAGGAAAAAAAACCAUUGUGUAAAAGCUCUACUUUCUUGGUGUAAGUCCUCAGAGUUGGUUUCAGGAGGCCUGUUUCUUGCGUCUGAAGUUCACUGCAGAUGCUGUUGAAACUGUUUGGUGAGCUUAUCUAGUUUCCAUCAUACUUCGAGGUUUAGGUUAAGGGAAAAUCCUCAGUUUCGGUGGUUUCAGCCAUGCUUUCCGCCUUCACCCCUCCAGUCAGUGGAUGCAGCGGAAGGCCAUAUAGAUUCAAAUGGACUUGUGUACAAUGGGUUUAUACGUCAACCGGCAAGGAGGAAUCAGAGUAGGUGCUCUUUAUCGCCUGUAGGCG